AUCUCCUCUUUUUGUUCAGCACUUGUGUCCCUGCUGGAAAAUCAAAUUUAAACUCAAACGUUCCUCUAAAGGACAACAAAGAUUUGAUGUGUAGAUGUGUUGUAGUAGUUUUAGUCUCAACUGGUUUUGUGCAUAAAUGAACCAUUAUAUAUUUUCAUAAUUUCGCUUCAUUGGAAAGUAUUUUCAUCAACACAAUGGAAACAGCUACUGUUAUUUGAUGAUCUUUUGACACUUCUUUGUUUAGAGCUGUUCUCCACCACUGUGCUCCAAACUUCCAUUUCAGGAAACAGAAACUCAUCGCUAACUGGGAGGAUAAGGAGCAGACAACUGAAUGCAACUGUUGAAUGACUGAACAGCUCCAAACAGGAGGUUUUAGGCUCAACAUGGGAAUCAUGUGGGCUCUGCAUAGCUUCUGAACAGAACCGAUGUUUCCUCUUCCCUUCAAAUCUACUACCAAACACUGGAGAUGGAGCAACACGGCUCGAAACCACAAUGCUAAGAUGAUUUAAGGGCAAAAGAUUUCCUACAUGUAGUUUUAUAGCUCAGAAAAAACAAAGUAGUCACUCCAUACAGUUGUCAAUCAUUGAGUUUUCAUGUUGGACCUCCAUCAGGAAUGGGGAGGGCUCCGAUGAAAAAGUCUAGGAAGUGUCUUCCCCAGAAGCACCUGACUAAAACACAGGCUUUGAAUAUUGAACUGUAAUUAUUAACCUGUCAGAUCAUCUACAAAAUUAGAUGGACAUUUUUGGAAAUGGCUGAAAGAUUUCCAGCCUCCCAGUUUGUGGGGAUUGUGGGUAAUGUUUCAGACUCCAAGCUCUCACAUUUCUCAUGUCAUCUUUACAUAAUAAAUGAGUCACAGACCA